GAAAUCUUCUAGAAGCUGACCUUAUCUUGAACCUCAUAUGUAAUACUCUGCUGAAAUGGGAAAUGCCUGAUGUUUACCAGAUGAUCAAAUUGGAUGUGCAGCCUCUGAACAAGAUCUUACCACUUCUGUAGAGAACAGCUUCCAGGAGGUGCCUCUAGAAGAGCAGCAGCUGCUUCCAAAGACAAAAAAGAAAGGAAAUUGCUGUGAGGAGAAAAACUCCUUGGAGGGGAAGGUAUGAAGAUUCUUAUGCCCUUGGAGACCAUUUUCCAGAGCACAAGGGCAGACAGGGAGGUGAGCCCUGUGGCAUUAUCUGUGGCACAGCACAGACUGCUGACAAGAAUCAAGGACAGACAACAUGCCAAAAGUGCAAGGUGACAGACUUUUCCUGGUGCAUUGAGGGGACCGUACAGUCUGCCAAAAUCCAGGAAUCACAGAAUCUUAGAAUCAUCAAGGUUGGAAAAGACCUUCAAGAUCAUCAAGUCCAAACAUCCACCCUACAACCCCUAACCACUAAACCGUCUCCUGAAACAGCACGUCUAUCCAUUUUUUUAACAUCUCCAGGGACAGUGCCUCCACCACCUCCCUGGGCAGCCUGUUCCAAUGCUUCACCAUGGAAGUAUGCAUCAAAACCACGGAGACCCAGGGGCAAUAGACUUCAAAGCUCUGGAUUUUCAUCUACUCCAAAGGAAAGAAACCAA